rnacentral:piRNA from 1 species
UAGUUUGAGAGUUUUAACACAAAUUGGGUC